UUUCAUGUAGUUUAAAAAAACAUUUUAUUUUCAAUAAAAAAAAAGAUAUAAAUCUUAUGAAAA
rnacentral:tRNA from 1 species